rnacentral:rRNA from 1 species
GCUAAUACCGCAUACGACCUACGGGUGAAAGCAGGGGAUCUUCGGACCUUGCGCGAUUGAAUGAGCCGAUGUCGGAUUAGCUAGUUGGCGGGGUAAAGGCCCACCAAGGCGACGAUCCGUAGCUGGUCUGAGAGGAUGAUCAGCCACACUGGAACUGAGACACGGUCCAGACUCCUACGGGAGGCAGCAGUGGGGAAUAUUGGACAAUGGGCGCAAGCCUGAUCCAGCCAUACCGCGUGGGUGAAGAAGGCCUUCGGGUUGUAAAGCCCUUUUGUUGGGAAAGAAAUCCAGCCGGCUAAUACCCGGUUGGGAUGACGGUACCCAAAGAAUAAGCACCGGCUAACUUCGUGCCAGCAGCCGCGGUAAUACGAAGGGUGCAAGCGUUACUCGGAAUUACUGGGCGUAAAGCGUGCGUAGGUGGUCGUUUAAGUCCGUUGUGAAAGCCCUGGGCUCAACCUGGGAACUGCAGUGGAUACUGGGCGACUAGAGUGUGGUAGAGGGUAGCGGAAUUCCUGGUGUAGCAGUGAAAUGCGUAGAGAUCAGGAGGAACAUCCAUGGCGAAGGCAGCUACCUGGACCA